UACGAAGGGUGCAAACGUUGCUCGGAAUUAUUGGGCGUAAAGCGCACGUAGGCGGCUUGGCAAGUCGGAUGUGAAAUCCCUCGGCUCAACCAAGGAAGUGCAUCCGAAACUGCCGAGCUUGAGUACUUAAGAGGAUCGCGGAAUUCCCGGUGUAGAGGUGAAAUUCGUAGAUAUCGGGAGGAACACCAGUGGCGAAGGCGGCGAUCUGGGCCGGACCUGACGCUGAGGCGAGAAGGCGUGGGGAGCGAACGGG
rnacentral:rRNA from 1 species